CCCUUAGAUGUUCUGGGCCGCACGCGCGCUACACUGACUGGUGCAACAAGUGUCGCUCCUUGGCCGAUAGGCCUGGGCAAUCUUUGAACGCCAGUCGUGAUGGGGAUAGAUUCUUGCAAUUUUUGAUCUUCAACGAGGAAUUCCUAGUAAACGCGAGUCAUCAACUCACAUUGAUUACGUCCCUGCCCUUUGUACACACCGCCCGUCGCACCUACCGAUUGAAUGGUCCGGUGAACCCUCCGGAUCGGCCCGCGCCAACGCAAGUUGAGCAAAGGCCGAGAAGUUGGGUAAACCUUACCAUUUAGAGGAAGGUGAAGUCGUAACA
rnacentral:rRNA from 1 species